CGUUGGCCGUCGCCUAAUCGCCACAGCACGGCGAGCCGGGGAACCACGUACCUGGGGUGCAUCCGCGUCAGCGGUAGGGAUCUUCCGUCCCGAACCCGUCAGCUAACCCGGUCGGCGGUUGACGGAAGGACAC
rfam:Micromonospora sp. CB01531 scaffold13, whole genome shotgun sequence.